CUACUUCAAGCUGUCCAUGAUGUUUUUGCAAAAUUAUAUCCAACUACUGAAUCGCUUGGUCAAUUUGGAAAUGAGCUUGUACUUUUUCGAGAUGCAAAAAGAGGAUUCGGUGAUCGAGCGGCAAUUGCAUCAAGGUCAACCAUGGUGCCCGCUGAAUGGUGGUUUAUGUAUGGGAAU